rnacentral:tRNA from 1 species
GGGCACGUAGCUCAGCUGGCUAGAGCGUCUCUUUUACACAGAGAAGGUCAGGAGUUCAAGUCUCUUCGUGCCCA